AUAUUCAAAAAAGAAACUUUAAUUAAUUAGAAAUUCACAAUAAUAAUAAUAAUAAUAAAAAAACAAUAUAAAUUUUUCUAACACUCCUUGCAGAAGCCUAGCCGACUAAAAACCUAGCAAAAAGAAGACAACAGGAAUUGAAAAGACCUCGUCACCUAAAGUCGUAGUUGCCGACAACCUCCCUUCCACGUGGUAUCGUCGAAUUUUAAUCAAAGCAAUCCACGAAAACAAAGCUCUGGCCACCCACGAUCAUAACCCAGCGUUUCCACAACUGCCGAGCACCACCCACAGCAGCAGCAGCAGUCCCUAGUCGCCUCUAAUCGAACCGUUUCUUGUAGGAAUGGGCAGGAAACUAGCGAAACAACCACCUUUCCUCGCCUCAAUCUCAUUGUCCAGGUGGAGAUGAUUUACAUCGCCGGUGUAGGCAACAAGAAGGAGAAGACGAGCAGUCGAUUUGCAAGUCCACCUUCUUACAUCACCGAUGCAUGCAAUAACGCGCCUCGAUCCAGCUAGUCUCUCCAUGCCUGUAGCCCAUGUCCCAUCAGCGUUUGGAAACGUGGUUAUACUUCUUUUAUUUUUUUAAAUUGUUUUGAUUAAUAUAUUUUGGAUGAAAAAUACUUUGAAAAGCAAUCGCAACUACACUCCCAAAUAAAUACUCGUG
rnacentral:lncRNA from 1 species